CUGAGGGCACCGAGCCGCGCGCCUGCUUUCUGUUAUUAAAAGAGGGAAAUGGAAAAAAAACCAAACAACCCACAAAAAACAACACCCCGCGAUGUAAACAUUCUUACAAUUGCUGCGGAAACUGGAUAUAACCAGGAAGACAGACAAGGCUGCAGCUACUUUUUCUGGGGAGGCCAGUGUGAGCAAUGGGAGUGUAUUCUGGAUCAGACACUAGUGAUGACUGCAUGGAUCCUGCUGGUGAGAACACCAAAACAUCACCCGAGUUACUAGCUGCAGUCUUUCACACGGAGAGGACCUAG